rnacentral:tRNA from 1 species
AAAGCAUUAGUCUAGUGGUUAUGAUAGCCGCUUGUCACGCGGCUGGCCGGGGUUCGAUUCCCCGAUGGGAAG